rnacentral:rRNA from 1 species
UGCCGCGUGUGUGAAGAAGGCCUUCGGGUUGUAAAGCACUUUCAGUCGUGAGGAAGGUAGUGUAGUUAAUAGCUGCAUUAUUUGACGUUAGCGACAGAAGAAGCACCGGCUAACUCCGUGCCAGCAGCCGCGGUAAUACGGAGGGUGCGAGCGUUAAUCGGAAUUACUGGGCGUAAAGCGCAUGCAGGUGGUUUGUUAAGUCAGAUGUGAAAGCCCGGGGCUCAACCUCGGAAUUGCAUUUGAAACUGGCAGACUAGAGUACUGUAGAGGGGGGUAGAAUUUCAGGUGUAGCGGUGAAAUGCGUAGAGAUCUGAAGGAAUACCGGUGGCGAAGGCGGCCCCCUGGACAGAUACUGACACUCAGAUGCGAAAGCGUGGGGAGCAAACAGGAUUAGAUACCCUGGUAGUCCACGCCGUAAACGAUGUCUACUUGGAGGUUGUGGCCUUGAGCCGUGGCUUUCGGAGCUAACGCGUUAAGUAGACCGCCUGGGGAGUACGGUCGCAAGAUUAAAACUCAAAUGAAUUGACGGGGGCCCGCACAAGCGGUGGAGCAUGUGGUUUAAUUCGAUGCAACGCGAAGAACCUUACCUACUCUUGACAUCCAGAGAACUUUCCAGAGAUGGAUUGGUGCCUUCGGGAACUCUGAGACAGGUGCUGCAUGGCUGUCGUCAGCUCGUGUUGUGAAAUGUUGGGUUAAGUCCCGCAACGAGCGCAACCCUUAUCCUUGUUUGCCAGCGAGUAAUGUCGGGAACUCCAGGGAGACUGCCGGUGAUAAACCGGAGGAAGGUGGGGACGACGUCAAGUCAUCAUGGCCCUUACGAGUAGGGCUACACACGUGCUACAAUGGCGCAUACAGAGGGCAGCCAACUUGCGAAAGUGAGCGAAUCCCAAAAAGUGCGUCGUAGUCCGGAUUGGAGUCUGCAACUCGACUCCAUGAAGUCGGAAUCGCUAGUAAUCGUGGAUCAGAAUGCCACGGUGAAUACGUUCCCGGGCCUUGUACACACCGCCCGUCACACCAUGGGAGUGGGCUGCAAAAGAAGUAGGUAGUUUAACCUUCGGGGGGACGCUUACCACUUUGUGGUUCAUGACUGGGGUGAAGUCGUAACAAGGUAGCGCUAGGGGAACCUGGCGCUGGAUCACCUCCUUA